UACGUAGGGGGCUAGCGUUGUCCGGAAUCAUUGGGCGUAAAGAGCGUGUAGGCGGCCCGGUAAGUCCGCUGUGAAAGUCGGGGGCUCAACCCUCGAAUGCCGGUGGAUACUGUCGGGCUAGAGUGCGGAAGAGGCGAGUGGAAUUCCUGGUGUAGCGGUGGAAUGCGCAGAUAUCAGGAGGAACACCGAUGGCGAAGGCAGCUCGCUGGGACGGUACUGACGCUGAGGCGCGAAAGCGUGGGGAGCAAACAGG
rnacentral:rRNA from 1 species